rnacentral:rRNA from 1 species
GCAAAACGCGAAGAACCUUACCCGGGCUUGAAAUGCAUCUGACAGGAGCAGAGACGCUCUCUCCCUUCGGGGCAGAUGUGUAGGUGCUGCAUGGUUGUCGUCAGCUCGUGCCGUGAGGUGUCGGCUUAAGUGCCAUAUCGAGCGCAACCCACAUCGUUAGUUACUAACAGGUUAAGCUGAGGACUCUAACGAGACUGCCGUCGUAAGAUGCGAGGAAGGUGUGGAUGACGUCAAAUCAGCACGGCCCUUACGUCCGGGGCGACACACGUGUUACAAUGGAUGGUACAAAGGGCAGCUACUUGGCGACAAGAUGCUAAUCUCUAAAACCAUUCCCAGUUCGGAUCGGAGUCUGCAACUCGACUCCGUGAAGCUGGAUUCGCUAGUAAUCGCGCAUCAGCCAUGGCGCGGUGAAUACGUUCCCGGGUCUUGUACACACCG